rnacentral:misc_RNA from 1 species
AAGUCGUAACAAGGUUUCCGUAGGUGAACCUGCGGAAGGAUCAUUAUAAAAUUUUUUCUAUAUAUUUUUAAAAUAUGUUAAAAAAAUAAAAUUCUGUAUUCAAAACCCACACACUUUUUUAAACCCAUAUAAAAAAAUUAUUAUGUUCAUAUAUAUACAUAUAAUUUUUUUAUAUAUAUAAAAAUAUAUAUAUAAUUAAAAGACAACUUUCAACAACGGAUCUCUUGGCUCUC